ACCCUUUCAUCGGUCUCGUUCUCCUCUCCGAUCAUGAAGAAAGGUAUUGGCUGAGACGCAAAGCACAAGUUGGAAGAUUCAAAAUGAGCGGCAGACAAGUUGUGGCAUUGGAUUGUCUACUCUGGGAAUGCCAAUAUCUGAAACUGUUGCUGUGAAGCCAGUGGAAAUUAGUCAUGUGACUGAAAGUUUAACAAAGAACUCCAAGUUUCUGACCUCGUGCUGUGAUGGGAUCCUGGAGUCUCAAGUCAAGUUUUGCUUUUAAUUUAGGACCCCAAAGAUGCAGAAACAGGACUUGGUGUUGCAAGAAGGCUGGCUGAGGCACAGUGGAUACUGGCAUAAAGGAUUGGAACUAAUGUAGAGCUGUCCCUGUCAGGUGGCCAGUGAAUUUACAACUGCCAGUGUGGCUAAGAAUGAGAAAUUACGACGCCAUAAGAGAUGCAGUGGGAGACAUCCGUGAUUUCAGACUACAUUUUAUCCCGGGAUGUUACUGAUUUCCACUAUCAAUAAAAUGUGUGCACUUGUCUUUA